GAUGAACGCUGGCGGCGUGCCUAAUACAUGCAAGUCGAACGGAAGGUAGCAAUACCUUUAGUGGCGAACGGGUGAGUAACGCGUUGGUGACCUGCCCCGAAGCGUGGGAUAACAGUCCGAAAGGAUUGCUAAUACCGCAUGUGGUCCAAGAGACUAGAGGCUUAUGGACUAAAGGAGACAUUCACUUCGGGAGGGGCCUGCGUCCCAUCAGCUAGUUGGUAGGGUAACGGCCUACCAAGGCGAUGACGGGUAGGGGACCUGAGAGGGUGGCCCCCCACAAUGGAACUGAAACAACGGUCCAUACACCUACGGGUGGCAGCAGUAGGGAAGUAUUGCAAAAUAGGGCGGCAAGACCCGAUGCAGCAACGCCGCGUGGGCGAUGAAGGCCUUCGGGUCGUAAAGACCCUUUUCGUAGGGGAGUGAGGAAGGAC
rnacentral:rRNA from 1 species